GCUUGUCUCAAAGAUUAAGCCAUGCAUGUCUAAGUAUAAGCAAGUAUACUGCGAAACUGCGAAUGGCUCAUUAAAUCAGUUAUCGUUUAUUUGAUAGUAUCAUACUACUUGGAUAUCCGUGGUAAUUCUAGAGCUAAUACAUGCUUAAAAGUCCGACUCACGAAGGACUGUAUUUAUUAGAUUCAAAAACCAAUGCCCUUCGGGGCUCCUUGGUGAUUCAUAAUAACUUCACGAAUCGCAUGGCCUUGUGCCGGCGAUGGUUCAUUCAAAUUUCUGCCCUAUCAACUUGAUUGUAGGAUAGAGGCCUACAAUGGUGGCAACGGGUAACGGGGAAUUAGGGUUCUAUUCCGGAGAAGGAGCCUGAGAAACGUGAGUUUUCCAGCACUUUUACCGAUUAUACAAUAUCAAUUGCUAACAUUCUAUAGGGCUGCUACAUCCAAGGAAGGCAGCAGGCGCGCAAAUUACCCAAUGCUAAUUCAGCGAGGUAGUGACAAUACAUAUCGAUCCAGGGCUCUUUUGGGUCUUGGAAUUGGAAUGAGUACAAUUUAAAUCCCUUAACGAGGAACAAUUGGAGGGCAAGUCUGGUGCCAGCAGCCGCGGUAAUUCCAGCUCCAAUAGCGUAUAUUAAAGUUGUUGCAGUUAAAAAGCUCGUAGUUGAACCUUGGGUUUGGCUGUAUGGUCCGUCUUACGACGCGUUACUUUAUGGCCGAACCUUUCCUUCUGGGGAACCGCAUGGCCUUUAUUGGCUGUGUUGGGGAUCCAGGACUUUUACUUUGAAAAAAUUAGAGUGUUCAAAGCAGGCAUUUGCUCGAAUACCUUAGCAUGGAAUAAUAGAAUAGGACGACAGUCUUAUUUUGUUGGUUUCUAAGACUGUCGUAAUGAU
rnacentral:rRNA from 1 species